ACUAUUUUGUGGUUCAUAAGCAUGACUGGGCGUUCAUGUGCAUGUGUGAGAUGUUCCUCCCUCAAACCUUAUUAUGACAUGGGCACCAUACCUGUCUGAUU
ensembl:snoRNA